GAUGAACGCUGGCGGCGUGCCUAAUACAUGCAAGUCGAGCGAACAGACGAGGAGCUUGCUCCUCUGACGUUAGCGGCGGACGGGUGAGUAACACGUGGAUAACCUACCUAUAAGACUGGGGUAACUUCGGGAAACCGGAGCUAAUACCGGAUAACAUGUUGAACCGCAUGGUUCAACAGUGAAAGACGGUCUUGCUGUCACUUAUAGAUGGAUCCGCGCCGCAUUAGCUAGUUGGUAAGGUAACGGCUUACCAAGGCAACGAUGCGUAGCCGACCUGAGAGGGUGAUCGGCCACACUGGAACUGAGACACGGUCCAGACUCCUACGGGAGGCAGCAGUAGGGAAUCUUCCGCAAUGGGCGAAAGCCUGACGGAGCAACGCCGCGUGAGUGAAGAAGGUCUUCGGAUCGUAAAACUCUGUUAUUAGGGAAGAACAAAUGUGUAAGUAACUAUGCACGUCUUGACGGUACCUAAUCAGAAAGCCACGGCUAACUACGUG
rnacentral:rRNA from 1 species